CUCUUCUCUCCCUCGUUCGUCCCUCUUCUCUCCCUCGGUCGUCUUCUUCACCGUCCUCUUUCACGCCAAACGUAUUUUAUUCGAUUCUAUCUCGUGCUCCGCCUACAAACACUCGGAUCUGAGGCUGCUGCUUAGGUCGGGAAUAGUGGUGGUAGGCGCAUUGGCAUUCGGAUACCUAACCUUGCCACACGAUUGAAGCCGUUUCUCGAGAAAGCUCAAGAAACCCUAAAAAAAUCUGACCACCCCCUUUUUCCAGCUGCAGUGGAAGGGAAUUAGGAAGAUCCAACGUUUAAAUUUCAAAUACCACUCCAAAAUGCUGCAGAGCGUGAGAUUGCGAGAUUUCUGAUUGGAGCUUAAAAAUCUUUGUACCAAUGACAGUCCUGGCACUUCUUAUCCUCAUUCCAGUCAAUGUAUCAAGUGGGACACUAUUUUUCCUCAGAAGAGAACUGGUUAUGAUUUCAGGAUAGUUUCUUCGCUAGCUUUGCUCUUGGUUGGGUAAUCACGAAUGGUGCUGGCCUUGCAUCCCAUCCAAUUGACACUGUCUGUAGAAGAAUGAUGAUGACAUCUGGUGAAACCGUCAAGUAUAAGAGUUCCUUUGAUACAUUCUCUCAAAUCCUCAAGAAUGAGGGUCCCAAAUCUCUCUUUAAGGAAGCUGGUGCAAAUAUACUCCAUGCUGGUCCCAUUGUCCUUGGUUGUCAAAGCGGUCUUAAUUUCAUUUUGUUGGUUUUUGAUUCAUACGCAAUUAUAAUUUGCUCUCUUUCGAAUUAUUACCAAUUUCAAAUUCGGGAGAAGCUUUUACUGAACAUUGAUGAUCAUUGUCUCCAUAUCAUUUGUCUCCCAAGGUUUUGUUUGACCCUAGAUGGUUAUUUGGUCUAGAAUUAUAUGUAUGCUUAUGUCAAACAGUAUGACACAAGGGUUGAUUUCUUUUUU